ensembl:ncRNA ZK377.14 ncRNA
GAAGCAGCAUCCAUCGGGCAUCCUUCUUCUCUUCCUCCCAAAUUGGUUUACCUUCAAAUAGAAUUAUGAGUAACGGCUACUGACGACGGAAGAGGAAACAUGGACGGGGGGGGGGGGGGGGCACAAAAGCAGAUGACAGCGUGAUGUACUACGGCUUCAGAACAAAUUUGUUACGGAGCUGCGGAAGGGUGGGGGCCCAUUGUUAGUACGCGCGCAACGUCUUCGCCCUUACGUUUUUGCGCAAGUGAGAAAAGUGGAAAAAGAAAGACGAGAAUAG